GACGGAGGGAGCUAGCGUUGUUCGGAAUUACUGGGCGUAAAGAGCGCGUAGGCGGUUUAGUAAGUUGGGAGUGAAAGCCCGGGGCUUAACCUCGGAAUUGCUUUCAAAACUGCUAGUCUAGAGUGUAGUAGGGGAUGAUGGAAUUCCUAGUGUAGAGGUGAAAUUCUUAGAUAUUAGGAGGAACACCGGUGGCGAAGGCGGUCAUCUGGGCUACAACUGACGCUGAGGCGCGAAAGCGUGGGGAGCAAACAGG
rnacentral:rRNA from 1 species